rnacentral:SRP_RNA from 1 species
GCUGGGCACAGUGGCAUGUGCCUGUACUCUCAGCUACUUGGGAGGCUGAGGUGGGAGGAUCGCUUGAGCCCAGGAGUUCUGGGCUGUAGUGUGCUCUGUCAGUUGGGUGUGCGCACUAAGUUCUGCAUCAAUAUAGUGACCUGCUGGGAGCAAGGGACCACCAGGUUGCUUAAGGAGGGGCGAACCGGCCCAAGUCAGAAAUGGAGCAGGUCGAAAAAAAAAAAAAGAAAAGAAAAGAAAAGAGGCCGGGCGCGGUGGCUCAUGCCUGUAAUCCCAGCACUUUGGGAGGUCGAGGCGGGUGGAUCAUAAGGUCAAGAGAUCAAGACCAUCCUGGUCAACAUGGUGAAACCCCGUCUCUA